GCGCCCGUAGCUCAGCUGGAUAGAGCAACGGCCUUCUAAGCCGUGGGUCGCAGGUUCGAGUCCUGCCGGGCGUG
rnacentral:tRNA from 1 species